AUGCCCCCGAAGAAGCGCCUGCACCUGUUGCCCGCUGCUCCCAAGCUGGAAGACCAUGUCGAGGAAGCUGCUCCUGCUGUCUCUACCUCUGGCACGGAAGAUUCGGAGGAGGAAGUGGAGGAACUUUUCGGCAGCGGCAGCAGCGGCGGGGACAACAAAGACGACAGUGGCAGCCAUUCGUCGCAGAUUGACGGUGCCGACAUGGAUGACCCAUCCAAAGUGCACAUCUUUGUCAAGAAUCCCGCCGGCAGGAAAAUCUGCCUCAGGGGGGUCCACUUGUCAGACACCCUUUACACCAUCAAGGCAAAGAUUCAGGAGCGGUACCGCCUUGUCUUUGAUGGGGUGCAGCUGGAAGACAACCGUACACUGGCGGAUUACGGCAUCCAGCAUGAUUUUACGCUUGACCUCCAAGAAAAGAUGCAAAUCUUCGUGACAGAGACGCUAGAAGGCAGGACCAUCACUCUCGAGGUAGACAGCCUAGACACCAUUGACAACGUGAAGGCUAAGAUCGAAGACAUUGAGGGCUUUCCGAAGGUCCAGCAGUGCCUCAUCUUUGCCAACAAACAGCUGGAGGACGGCAAGCUCACCUUGGCUGACCACAACAUUUGUAAAGGGUCCACUCUUCUCCUCAUCCUCCUCCCCUGUAUUCCAACUGUUCUGAUGCUAAUCUUUGUAAAGACACCGGAAGGGAAGGUCCUCACCCUUGAGGUUGGGAGCUCGGACACUGUCGACAGUGUCAAGGUGAAGAUCUAUGAGAAGGAUGGCACUAGCCCUAGACAGCAGCGCCUCAUCUUUGCUGGCAAGCAGCUGGAGGACCACCGCACCCUGGCGGACUACAACAUUCAGAGCGAUUCUACCCUUCAUUUGGUGUUCCGCCUUUGUGGUUGCUGA
rnacentral:rRNA from 1 species